rnacentral:rRNA from 1 species
AGCAUGCUAGUCGCACGAGUUCAGACUCGUGGCGAAUAGCUCAGUAACACGUGGCCAAACUACCCUUCGGAAUACAAUACCCUCGGGAAACUGAGGCUAAUAGUGUAUACCACAGUCCACCUGGAAUGAGGACUGUGCUAAAUGCUCCGGCGCCGAAGGAUGUGGCUGCGGCCGAUUAGGUAGACGGUGGGGUAACGGCCCACCGUGCCAAUAAUCGGUACGGGUCAUGAGAGUGAGAACCCGGAGACGGAAUCUGAGACAAGAUUCCGGGCCCUACGGGGCGCAGCAGGCGCGAAACCUUUACACUGCACGACAGUGCGAUAAGGGAAUCCCAAGUGCGUAGGCAUAGAGCCUACGCUUUUGUCCACCGUAGGGAGGUGGACGAAUAAGGGCUGGGCAAGACCGGUGCCAGCCGCCGCGGUAAUACCGGCAGCCCGAGUGAUGGCCGAUCUUAUUGGGCCUAAAGCGUCCGUAGCUGGCCGCACAAGUCCAUCGGAAAAUCCACCCCGCUCAACGGGUGGGCGUCCGGUGGAAACUGUGUGGCUUGGGACCGGAAGGCGCGACGGGUACGUCCGGGGUAGGAGUGAAAUCCUGUAAUCCUGGACGGACCCGCCGAUGGCGAAAGCACGUUCGCGAGAACGGAUCCGACAGUGAGGGACGAAAGCUAGGGUCUCGAACCGGAUUAGAUACCCGGGUAGUCCUAGUCGUAAAACAAUGCCUGCUAGGUGUGGCUUCUCACUACCGAGUGGGUGCUGUGCCGUAGGGAAGCCGCCUAAGCAAGGCCGCCUGGGAAGUACGUCCGCAGGAUGAAACUUAAGGAAUUGGCGGGGGGAGCACUACCACUGGAGGAGCUGGCGGUUAUUGGAACUCACGCCGGACAUCUCACCAGCCAUCCACUGUCAUAUGACGAUCACGUCGAUGACUC